rnacentral:rRNA from 1 species
UACGUAGGGUGCGAGCGUUGUCCGGAAUUACUGGGCGUAAAGAGCUCGUAGGUGGUUUGUCGCGUUGUUCGUGAAAUCUCACGGCUUAACUGUGGGCGUGCGGGCGAUACGGGCAGACUAGAGUACUGCAGGGGAGACUGGAAUUCCUGGUGUAGCGGUGAAAUGCGCAGAUAUCAGGAGGAACACCGGUGGCGAAGGCGGUUCUCUGGGCCUUACCUGACGCUGAGGAGCGAAAGCGUGGGGAGCGAACAGG